rnacentral:rRNA from 1 species
GACGAACGCUGGCGGCGUGCUUAACACAUGCAAGUCGAACGGAAAGGCCCUGCUUUUGUGGUGUGCUCGAGUGGCGAACGGGUGAGUAACACGUGAGUAACCUGCCCUUGACUUUGGGAUAACUUCAGGAAACUGGGGCUAAUACCGGAUAGGAGCUCCUGCUGCAUGGUGGGGGUUGGAAAGUUUCGGCGGUUGGGGAUGGACUCGCGGCUUAUCAGCUUGUUGGUGGGGUAGUGGCUUACCAAGCCUUUGACGGGUAGCCGGCCUGAGAGGGUGACCGGCCACAUUGGGACUGAGAUACGGCCCAGACUCCUACGGGAGGCAGCAGUGGGGAAUAUGGCACAAUGGGCGGAAGCCUGAUGCAGCAACGCCGCGUGCGGGAUGACGGCCUUCGGGUUGUAAACCGCUUUCGCCUGUGACGAAGCGUGAGUGACGGUAAUGGGUAAAGAAGCACCGGCUAACUACGUG